AUGAAUGGAUUGGGGAUGGGAGGGGGGAGGUUGAGGGGUUUUGUACUGUAGUUUCAAAUUGAAAUUAUUCAAAUAUAUUUUGUAUCUGUAUGACUGUAUUUAUGGUUGAAAGGAGAUUUCUAAUUCCUGUGAAGUAUGAUAUCAUUAAAGCACUAGGAACAUUAGCAAAUCAGCACUUUCUGAGUUUUCCACUUGUAAUCAGUACAGAUCUGGUUGUCUUGUAUGUGAAGUGAAUUUGGUGCUUUGAACCCUAGAGCAGAAAACUUCUGUUGUCAUUGAUAUGUUAGUUUCUUGUGAGCCUUAAAUUAUUAAAUAUUGUAGAUAUACUUCUUUAUAAAUAAUUUUAUUAGUUACCUUCCUGUUUCAGAAUUUCCAAGUAAUUCAGUCAUGUGCUUACUGGCCUCACUCAAAAUCAAAAAAGUAUGUGCAGCUUUUGUUUUGUUGGGGGUUUUUUUUGGGUUUUUUUUUGGGUUUUUUUGUGGUUUUACAGUUUUAUAUCUUUGUUAUAUUUUGAGACCUAAAGGAAAAAAUACACUGUCUGCUGUUACUGGUUUCAAUCCAGUGCACAACAGAUCGAAAGUGAUCUGAACAGAUUUUCAAGUGCACAACAGAUCAAAACCAUGAGGGAGUGGAUAGGCACAAUGAGAAAGUAGAGUAUUGAGUGCAAUACCUGCAGAACUGCUUUCAUUGUACACUCCAGAUUCCUUGAGCGUGUGUAUCAGUCACCUUUAUGUAUGCACACACCAUUUGUGUACACAGUUCUCUGGUUUUAGUUCUCUCAGACCAGGAGUGGAUGGCACUUCAGGAGUCGAACGUGGUGUGCUGUGCUGCUUCAACAACCAUCUCAUGGCUUUUCUCUUGGACACAGAUGGAAAGCACCAUCUUUUCAUCAAAACACACCCCUGGUUUCUUGUAUUUCCAAACAAAACCUUCUCAGCGCUGUGGAUUUUGCAGUUGAAGUGUUGUUGAAAGACGAGUGACACACUGCCUUCAUCAGGAUCACAGCUAACUCUGAAGACUGAUACAAAGUUGCUCCUUUAGCUCAAAGAGCUUUCUUACAAUUUCUCUUGCAAAGGACAUCUCUGUUUCCCCCUCCAACUUCUGUUGUAUUGCUGAAAGAUGUUCCAUUCCUUUCCCACAUCCUGUGGCACAGCAAGAGUAGCAGAGAAGGCUUGAUUGUCAACAUCACUCAAGAGUGACCUGGAGCUCAAGCAGGAGCGGUGUUCUCCAGACAGCUCUCCACGGCUUCCCUAGUGAGCCACGAGACCGAGGCAGAAAUUCCAGUGUGGGGAGGGGGUGAGUCAUGAGAUGACACUGACCAUUAGGAAGACACUGCUGCAGAGUCUGAAACCAAACCAGCCUAUUCCUUGUUCUCAAGUCAUCUUGGGUUAGAAGCUGCUGAAAAACUUCCUUCUGGAUAAAUAACUGUGAGGUCCCCAUCAUCCCCAGAAUUGGAUUCCUUCACUGGGAUUGCUGAAACAGUGGUCUGCUCCAAGGUUUCCCUCAUAGAAGAAUUGUUCAGCUUCACAACAGGAGUGAGAAAAGUUUAAAUGCUUUGGGGCUUACUCCCAGGCACAAGACUUCAUUACUUGAGCUUUUGAGCUUUUGCUUGGAAAUAAGUUGAGUUCUUUUCAUCGAUUGGGCAUCUUAUCCCUUGCUUCUUACAUAUCAAACUUUCUCAUAAUUCUGGAAGAAGAUUCAAGUGUUUGUUCUUUUUCUUUUAUUGGCACUUGUCUUUGUUUAUUUAUUUUGUAUUCUUGAGAUGUGUCGCAUCUCUGGAGUUUGUAUUUCUACUCUUACCGUAAAAAUGUUGCACAUACAGGUCUAGAAUGCAUCUGAAGAUUAGUAUAAUUUUUCAUGUGACUUUGACUUGAACAUUUUUCUGUUUAUGUUUAUAUUGCUAUUUCAAAUAUGUGCAUUACCUGUAUUCUUUAUGCCUGUUCCCCAUCCGUAACUUAAUAAAAUA